AUUGAACGCUGGCGGCAGGCCUAACACAUGUAAGUCGAGCGAGCGGCGGACGGGCGAGUAAUGUAUGGGGACUGCCCGAUAGAGGGGGAUAACUACUGGAAACGGUGGCUAAUACCGCAUACUAUCGGAUAACCCAUAUGGGAUUAGCUAGUAUGUGGGGUAAAGGCUCACCUAGGCGACGAUGUCUAGCUGUUCUGAGAGGAUGAUAAGCCAACCUGGGACUGAGAUCCGGCCCAAACUACUACGGAGGCAGAAGUGGGGAAUAUUGCGAAAUGGGCGCAAGCCGGAUGCAGCAAUGCCGCGAGUAUGAAGAAGGCCUUAGGGUUGUAAAGUACUUUCAGGGGGGAGGCGUUACCCGCAGAAGAAGCACCGGCUAACUCCGUGCCAGCAGCCGCGGUAAUUC
rnacentral:rRNA from 1 species